CACCAGCCCCCCGAGUGGUAGGGAUGUUUAUUUGGCCUAAAGCGUCCGUAGCCGGUUAUGUAAAUUUCUCGUUAAAUCCAGCGUCCUAAGCGUUGGGCUGCGAGGAAGACUGCUUAGCUAGAGGGUGGGAGAGGUCAGCGGUAUUUCUGGGGUAGGGGCGAAAUCCUAUAAUCCCGGGAAGACCACCAGUGGCGAAGGCUGUCGGCUAGAACGCGCCCGACGGUGAGGGAUGAAAGCUGGGGGGAGCGAACCGGAUUAGAUACCCGGGUAGUCCCAGCUGUAAACGAUGCAGGCUAGGUGUUGGGGCGGCCACGUGCCGCUCUAGUGCCGCAGAGAAGUCGUUAAGCCUGCCGCCUGGGGAUACGGCCGCAAGGCUGAAACUUAAAGGAAUUGGCGGGGAGCACCACAAGGGUGAAGCUUGCGGUUU
rnacentral:rRNA from 1 species